CACUAAACAACUAGCCCCAAAACUAAGCACAACAAAUAAACAUUAAUAAACCCUAACACACCAAACCAGUUUAAAACAAACCAUUUUUUACCCUAGUAUGGGAGACAGAAAAGGAACACGGAGCUAUAGUGACAGUACCGCAAGGGAAUGAUGAAAGAGAAAUGAAACAACUCAACAAAGUACAAAAAAGCAGAGACUCUAACUCGUACCUUUUGCAUCAUGAUUUAGCAAGUACCCCCAAGCAAAGAGAACUUUAGUUUGAAACCCCGAAACUAAGUGAGCUACUCCAAGACAGCCCUUUAUGGGGCUAACCCGUCUCUGUGGCAAAAGAGUGGGAAGAUCUUUGAGUAGAGGUGACAGACCUACCGAACUUAGUUAUAGCUGGUUAUCCGAGAAAUGAAUAGAAGUUCAGCCUCCCGGCUUCUCCAUUCACCAGAUUCCAAACGAUGAAAAGAAACCAGGAGAGUUAGUCAAAGGGGGGACAGCCCCUUUGAGCAAGAUACAACUUUACCAGGAGGUUAAAGAUUAUACUCACCAAGGAAAAAUGCCCAAGUAGGCCUAAAAGCAGCCACCACAGCAGAAAGCGUUAAAGCUCAGACAUACUCACACCUCUUAUCCUAAUAAUUAAUUCUCAACCCCCUAAACCUAACGGAUUACUCCAUGCAACCAUGGAAGAAAUUAUGCUAAUAUGAGUAAUAAGAGAGCACUCAAUCUCUCUCCAAGCAUCUGUGUAAAUCGGAACGGACAACCCACCGAAUAUUAACGGCCCCAACCACAGAGGGUAAUGAACAUUAAUAUUACUCACUAGAAAAUCACCCACCAACCAACCGUUAACCUCACACUAGUAUGCCAAUAAGGAAAGACUAAAAGAAAAAGAAGGAACUCGGCAAACACCCACAAGCCUCGCCUGUUUACCAAAAACAUCGCCUCUUGCAAACUUAACGUAUAAGAGGUCCCGCCUGCCCCGUGACACCCAAGUUCAACGGCCGCGGUAUCCUGACCGUGCAAAGGUAGCGCAAUCACUUGUCUUUUAAAUGAAGACCUGUAUGAAUGGCAUAACGAGGGCUUAACUGUCUCCUUUUUCAAGUCAAUGAAAUUGAUCUCCCCGUGCAGAAGCGGGGAUAACUACAUAAGACGAGAAGACCCUGUGGAGCUUUAGACACUAGAGUAGCUCUCAUAAACACAUAUACACAUAAACUAAAAGAGCCCUGCUCUAACGUCUUCGGUUGGGGCGACCACGGGGAAACAAAUAACCCCCAUGCGGAAUAAGAGUACACCCUCUUAAAAACAAGAGCCACCGCUCUAAAAAACAGAAUCUCUGACCAUAAGAUCCGGCAAUGCCGAUCCACGGACCAAGUUACCCCAGGGAUAACAGCGCAAUCCUCUUCAAGAGCCCAUAUCGACAAGGGGGUUUACGACCUCGAUGUUGGAUCAGGACAUCCUAAUGGUGCAGCCGCUAUUAAGGGUUCGUUUGUUCAACGAUUAAAGUCCUACGUGAUCUGAGUUCAGACCGGAGUAAUCCAGGUCAGUUUCUAUCUAUGACAUGAUCUUUUCUAGUACGAAAGGACCGAAAAGAAGGGGCCCAUACUAAAAGUACGCCCCACCCCAACCUAAUGAAAACAACUAAAUUAGACAUAAGGGCAUAUCCCUUAUGCCUAAAACCAAGGCCU
rnacentral:rRNA from 1 species